rnacentral:Y_RNA from 13 species
GGCUGAUCCGAAGGUAGUGAGUUAUCUCAAUUGAUUGUUCAUAGUUACAGAUCGAACUCCUUGUUCUACUCUUUCCCCUCUUCUCACUACUGCACUUGACUAGUCUUAA